GAAAACCCGAAAACCACCGUUGGAUGGAAAAUUGAAUGUUUAAGAUUCGUCCACGUCAUCAGGAGUAAAAAUUUUACUUGUAGGUUUACUCAUGUUUAAAAUUUUGCUGGGAGUAAAACUUUUACUCCAAUGAUAGUUCUCAGACGUGGACAAAUCUCAAACAAUCAUUUUUCGAUUCAAUGUUAGUUUUUUAGAUUUC
rnacentral:pre_miRNA from 1 species